rnacentral:rRNA from 1 species
UACGAAGGGUGCUAGCGUUGUUCGGAAUUACUGGGCGUAAAGCGUAGGUAGGCGGUCUACCAAGUCAGGGGUGAAAUCCCGAGGCUCAACCUCGGAAUUGCCUUUGAAACUGGUAGGCUAGAGAAUGUUAGAGGCAAGUGGAAUUCCUAGUGUAGGAGUGAAAUCCGUAGAUAUUAGGAGGAACAUCAAUGGCGAAGGCAGCUUGCUGGGACAUUACUGACGCUGAGCUACGAAAGCGUGGGUAGCAAACAGG